rnacentral:tRNA from 1 species
GGGGUUGUAGCUCAGUGGUAGAGCACUUGCCUAGCAUGUAUGAGUCACUGGGUUCGAUUCUCAGCACCACA